GUGCCAGCAGCCGCGGUAAUACGUAGGGUACAAGCGUUGUCCGGAAUUAUUGGGCGUAAAGAGCUCGUAGGUGGUUUGUCGCGUCUGCUGUGGAAUCGUGCCGCUUAACGGUGCGCGUGCGGUGGGUACGGGCAGACUGGAGUGCAGUAGGGGAGUCUGGAAUUCCUGGUGUAGCGGUGAAAUGCGCAGAUAUCAGGAGGAACACCGGUGGCGAAGGCGGGACUCUGGGCUGUUACUGACGCUGAGGAGCGAAAGCAUGGGGAGCGAACAGGAUU
rnacentral:rRNA from 1 species